CUUUUGAAAUAUAUAAAAGCCACCUAGAGAUGAGCUCUUUUUUUUUUUUUUACUCUUGUGCAGCUAGAUAUUUGUAACACUAUUUGAUAUGAAUCUAUUUCUUGUUGGAUUUCAUUUGUUAUUUAAAAAUGGCAUUCUUAAUGGAUAGGAUGUGCUCUUUCAAGUUCAUUGGUUGACAGCGAUACUAACCAAUUUCUUAUUCUUUAGUUGCUUUAUGUUCUUGAUGAGUAUUUGGUUUCACUUUGCUUAUAGUUAUUUUGGCUAAGAAUUUUUAGUAACUUACCUUGGUUGUAUUCCAAAACGAUCAUGAUCCAUCCAAGUUAGUGGCAGAGACUCCAUGUGAGCUACUAAGGUAUUUGGUCUCAUGUAUUGCAUUUUAUGAAAAUAUCCAUGUUAUAUCUCGUCUGUGUUUGUGUCUGUGUCCUUACUUUUUAGCUCUAUUGUUAAUCAUUUUUUUACUAGUUUCAGUUUCAUCAAUGCAGCAGAUUCUGACGCUGUAUCUACUGAAUGGGAAGCUGAGUGUGAUGAUGAAAGUGUGGAAGAAUCUGAAUGUAGUCAGGGACACAAGGUGCUCUUACAGUUGUACAGCUGUCAAUUGGCUACCCUACAGGAGGUGAUGGAUUACGUGCAGACUGGUGGUAAUUUCAGCUGCUCUAGGAGGUCCUGCAAAUAAGGCUGGCAUUUUGUUAGGGGAUGUUAUCUUGAAAAUUGAUGACACAAGUACAGAAACCAUGGGCUUAUAUGAUGCAGCAGAGCGCUUGUAUAAAAAAAGCUUUUAUGAUCUUGAGAAUGACAAAGAAUGGAAGAAUGAUUCAGGUAUAUAUCAUCAUUUUCUUGGAAGAGGAUUGGAUGGCUGGAAGAUGAAGUUAUUUUCAAAGUUUGGAGAGCACACUCAAUAUUUUUUUAUUAUUAUUAAAAUGUAAAAAUAUUAGUAAUUUUUAU